GGUGAAGCCCAGCUUGCUGGGUGGAUCAGUGGCGAACGGGUGAGUAACACGUGAGCAAUCUGCCCCUGACUCUGGGAUAAGCGCUGGAAACGGCGUCUAAUACUGGAUACGAACCGUGGAGGCAUCUUCAACGGUUGGAAAGAUUUUUUGGUCAGGGAUGAGCUCGCGGCCUAUCAGCUUGUUGGUGAGGUAAUGGCUCACCAAGGCGUCGACGGGUAGCCGGCCUGAGAGGGUGACCGGCCACACUGGGACUGAGACACGGCCCAGACUCCUACGGGAGGCAGCAGUGGGGAAUAUUGCACAAUGGGCGAAAGCCUGAUGCAGCAACGCCGCGUGAGGGAUGACGGCCUUCGGGUUGUAAACCUCUUUUAGCAGGGAAGAAGCGAAAGUGACGGUACCUGCAGAAAAAGCGCCGGCUAACUACGUGCCAGCAGCCGCGGUAAUACGUAGGGCGCAAGCGUUAUCCGGAAUUAUUGGGCGUAAAGAGCUCGUAGGCGGUUUGUCGCGUCUGCUGUGAAAUCCCGAGGCUCAACUUCGGGUCUGCAGUGGGUACGGGCAGACUAGAGUGCGGUAGGGGAGAUUGGAAUUCCUGGUGUAGCGGUGGAAUGCGCAGAUAUCAGGAGGAACACCGAUGGCGAAGGCAGAUCUCUGGGCCGUAACUGACGCUGAGGAGCGAAAGGGUGGGGAGCAAACAGGCUUAGAUACCCUGGUAGUCCACCCCGUAAACGUUGGGAACUAGUUGUGGGGUCCAUUCCACGGAUUCCGUGACGCAGCUAACGCAUUAAGUUCCCCGCCUGGGGAGUACGGCCGCAAGGCUAAAACUCAAAGGAAUUGACGGGGACCCGCACAAGCGGCGGAGCAUGCGGAUUAAUUCGAUGCAACGCGAAGAACCUUACCAAGGCUUGACAUAUACGAGAACGCUGCAGAAAUGUAGAACUCUUUGGACACUCGUAAACAGGUGGUGCAUGGUUGUCGUCAGCUCGUGUCGUGAGAUGUUGGGUUAAGUCCCGCAACGAGCGCAACCCUCGUUCUAUGUUGCCAGCACGUAAUGGUGGGAACUCAUGGGAUACUGCCGGGGUCAACUCGGAGGAAGGUGGGGAUGACGUCAAAUCAUCAUGCCCCUUAUGUCUUGGGCUUCACGCAUGCUACAAUGGCCGGUACAAAGGGCUGCAAUACCGUGAGGUGGAGCGAAUCCCAAAAAGCCGGUCCCAGUUCGGAUUGAGGUCUGCAACUCGACCUCAUGAAGUCGGAGUCGCUAGUAAUCGCAGAUCAGCAACGCUGCGGUGAAUACGUUCCCGGGUCUUGUACACACCGCCCGUCAAGUCAUGAAAGUCGGUAACACCUGAAGCCGGUGGCCCA
rnacentral:rRNA from 1 species